GUCUAAGUAUAAGCAAUUAUACCGCGAAACUGCGAAUGGCUCAUUAUAUAAGUUAUCGUUUAUUUGAUAGUACCUUACUACUUGGAUAACCGUGGUAAUUCUAGAGCUAAUACAUGCUAAAAAUCCCGACUUCGGAAGGGAUGUAUUUAUUAGAUUAAAAACCAAUGCCCUUCGGGGCUCACUGGUGAUUCAUGAUAACUCCUCGAAUCGCAUGGCCUUGUGCCGGCGAUGGUUCAUUCAAAUUUCUUCCCUAUCAACUUUCGAUGUUUGGGUAUUGGCCAAACAUGGUUGCAACGGGUAACGGAGGGUUAGGGCUCGACCCCGGAGAAGGAGCCUGAGAAACGGCUACUACAUCCAAGGAAGGCAGCAGGCGCGCAAAUUACCCAAUCCCGACACGGGGAGGUAGUGACAAUAAAUACUGAUACAGGGCUCUUUUGGGUCUUGUAAUUGGAAUGAGUACAAUUUAAAUCCCUUAACGAGGAACAAUUGGAGGGCAAGUCUGGUGCCAGCAGCCGCGGUAAUUCCAGCUCCAAUAGCGUAUAUUAAAGUUGUUGUGGUUAAAAAGCUCGUAGUUGAACCUUGGGCCUGGCCGUCCGGUCCGCCUCACCGCGUGUACUGGCUCGGCCGGGCCUUUCCCUCUGUGGAACCCCAUGCCCUUCACUGGGCGUGGCGGGGAAACAGGACUUUUACUGUGAAAAAAUUAGAGUGCUCCAGGCAGGCCUAUGCUCGAAUACAUUAGCAUGGAAUAAU
rnacentral:rRNA from 1 species